GCACGGCACGAUAGUUGUGCCUCACACGUCACGAAUUGCACGCGCGGUCAAGCCUGCCACCGGACGGGCAUGACCGAUAUUUGGAUUUGGUUUGCAGCACGGCACGCACGACAUAGACCUUUAAGCCAAGCAGGCACAAAGGGCACAUGGCACAAUUGUGUCAAGGGCACGCAGGGUACGACACGAUAAUUGGCCUGACACACGACACGGAAGUGAUAAGAAAUGAUUAAUUUAAUUAAAUAAAUUAAAUAAAAUUUAAAUUAAAUAACCUGGACUUGCCAUAGUAAAUUUUUUAAAAAAAUUUAAAAAAAAAAAAUAAAGAAAAUAAAAUCAUAAAUUUGACUUAGUCAUGGGACAUGGCUUGUAAUAAAUACAUAAUAAAAAUAUAUUUUUUAUUACAAAUUGCUUUUCAAUCAUAAUAAGAAAAAAAUGAGACUAUUUAAUAAAAUAACAUUUGAAUAACAAAAAUAAAAAAUAAAAAAUUAAAUUUGAAAACAAAACUAUAAAUUUUAAAAUUUGACUUAUGGCCCAUUAUUAGGUCAGAAUAAGAUAAAAAUAAAAUUUUAAAAAUAAAACUUAUUUUAUUUAAAAUAUGAGAAAAAAUUCAAAAAAAAUGUUUCAAUAAUAACAAUAAAAAUUUUUGAAUUGAUAGAUCAAAUUGAUUUUUAUAAUACAUAAUAUGUAUAAAAAUUGAUUAUAUUAAUGCGCUUCACAACGCCACAUUCGCAAUUAUUUAUGACCAUUUCACACCAUUUUUCACUUUGUUUUUGUAUUGUCACUCUCUCUCUCCUCCUCUCCUCUCGCCGAAUUUGAAUCUAAUCGAAUAUUGAAAACCCUUCAUCUACUUGUUUGAAUAUUAACGAGGUGGUGGCAUAACCCUCGGAACUGUACUUUUUCACAUUUUUUAUUUUUGUUUAUAACUAUUUGAAUAUAACGAGGUGGUGGCAUAACCCUCGGAACGACAACUUUUUUCACAUUUUUAUAGUUGGUUGUUGAGAUUUUAAUUUAAAGAUUUGCUGAUGUUCUAAACAAAUAGGACAUUAUUUUAAACAAAUCUCAAUAAAUGUUAAUACGCUUUUGUCGUCAUUUACACUCCUUAUAAAUGUAUUUUUAGAGUUGGCGAAUUUUAAGGCCGACCGACACACAUCGAUUAAAAAUGGACAUGGCAACGACACUAUUAGUAGACCGCACGGCACGGCAUGACACGAGUCACCGACUAAGUACGGGCCGGCACGACAGACAUAAUUAAGUAAGCGGACCGGCACGACACAUACGCAGAUUAAUAAAUGGGCCAGCACGGCACGGCAACAAUAAAAAAAUAGCACAACACGGCCACGAUUAAAAAUGUGCACGUCACUAUUAAGGCACAGCAUACGGCAGGCAACGUUAAGUUAAAUGGGGCCCCAGCACGACACUUCAGCUAAGCACGUGGCUGGAGAAAGUGGCACGGCACGGCACUGCACUUCAGGCACAUUUGACACCUCUAUCUCAAUCACAGUCCCAACCAUUUCCCCUUCAAAUGAGGGAGAGAGAUGGCAGGGUAUAGAGCUGAAGAUGAAUAUGAUUACUUGUUCAAGCUUGUUUGGAUUGGCUAUUCAGGUGUUGGUAAAUCGAAUCUUCUCUCGAGGUUUACUAGGAACGAAUUCAAUCUGGAGUCCAAGUCCACUAUUGGGGUUGAGUUCGUUACCAAAAGCCUUAAAGUUGAAGGAAAGACAUCAAAGCUCAAAUUUGGGACACUGCUGGUAAAGAAAGGUCUCCCUUUGUCUCUCUCUCUCUCUCUGUUUUUUUAUUCUUUUUCUGAUGUGGUGUUUUUUUGUGUUGUGUAUAUACAUGGUCUGUUUUUUUUGAUGUUAUUUGCAAUUCUAUUUGGUUUUUUUGAGGGUUAUCUUCAAAUCGAAUGUCUGUUGGAUUGUUGUUGAUGUUUUUUUUUGAAUUUUCAAUUGGUGGCAAAGUAAAUUAUUAUCUUUGAAAUUUUUGACAACUUUGAUAUGGUUUUUGAUGUGAACAAAGCACCUGCUGGUCUUUGUAGUGAAACUGUUGGUAGUUGUUUUUGUGAUUAGAUUUUGGCAUAUCCAAAUAGCAAUUCAAAUUCUGUGGGGUUUGUUAUUAAGCUUGAAGAAUCAACAGUUUGAAGAACUCAACUAUCAAGCGACUUGUGGUUUCUUUCAGCAUAUUUUAAGGACUCUCUGUACCUCUGUUCGUCAGUGAACUUAUGCUAUAGCCUUGUAGGGAAAAACUUCGCCCUUCUUUCAAGUAAUACGUUCUUAAAGGAUAACAAACUUUUAAAGUCUGAGGCUUGAGUAGAAUGGUUGCAGGGAAAAUUUCCAAUUCUAUGUGAUAGAGGGUGGUCAUCGAAGGUGUCAUCAUCCAUUUCUUCAGGUUUUUAAAUGCGAACAUCGUUAAUAUACCACCCACCCACCCCACCCCAAUCCUAGCGCCCCCCACCCACACAGAGUUCUCAUAAAAAGAUUAGACAGUGAGUUGGCCUCUGUAAAAUUAAGGUUGUUAACGGUGGACUUUGGUUGAUAAUGUCUCAUGCAUGUUUGAUCAAAAAGAGGACACCCUCAUGCUCAAUCUCUUCCUCAUGGUGCAUUGUUUGUAGAGAAAUGAAUAUUAGAUCGCUGUUUUUUGUUGUCCCCUGGAUGGUAAUUUGUUUAUUCAAUUGGUGGAGGUUUUGUGUGGAUAUUCCAGCUUCUUGCGCCCAUAUGCUCUUUAUAAAUUUUAGGGGAUUUGGAUGCAACAAGAAAGUGGAAGCAUUACGGAGUUGUGUUCUCUUUUCAAUAUUUUGGAUUAUUAGGUUGGAACAUAAUGCUAGGAACUUUGAGGAUAAGAUAGAGGAUGUUGACUCUUCAUGGGAUAGAAUUUGUUAUUUGUCUUCUUUCUGGGUUUCAGUUUUCCCUCCUUUGAUGGGAAUCCUUUUAUUUUUCAGUUCUAGAGAUUGGAGGGUGGUGUGUGAUUUGUAAUUACAAUUCCUGUUUUCCUUUGUAUUUCCUUUUCAGAGGACUUUGUUGAGUCCAACCCAUCUGGAUGGAGUCCAAAACCCACUUGGAUAGUCCAAAUCCAGUAGCCAAGCCAAGUCCGAUUGGAUUCAUAUGGAAAGUCCUUGAUGGUGAAACUCUCGAGUUAUCUUAGAACUCUUGGAGAGUCUUUCUCCUUUUUGUUUUUUCCUAGAUGAUUAGGAUAAGAUUAGGUAUUCCUAGGAAUCCACCACCUCCUUCCCUUGGUCUAUUAAAAGGGAUGAUAUGUGCUUAGAUUUUCUACGUGUGUUGUGUUGUGGGCUGAGAUCAGAGUGUGCUGAGGUUAGAUUGAGAGGCAAGACGAGAGAGAUUGGAGAUAGGGUGUGAGUUGAGAGGUGAGUCUCCUCCGUUGUAACCAUUCGUUUGAUAGUGGAUUGUUGUUUCUCUCCGUGGACGUAGGCAUCGUUGGCCGAACCACGUAAAUCUCUAUUGUCCUUUUGUGCGUGUGGUGAUCCGUAAUUAGUUUUUGAGCACAACAAUUGGUAUCAGAGCCGAGGUUGGAGGCGGAUUCGGAGCUCAGGUCGAAAUUCGGGUGUCCGGGAAAGUGCUCAAAAUUAUUUUUUGAUUGCACCAUGUUGUUCCUCUCGUCGAUACGGGAGUCUCCAGCACCAAACCGCGUCGAAAAGGAGUUCGGACGCGCCCUCAUGAACAGUUUGAAUAUCGCGAGUGAUAUUAGUCUAAUCCACGCGCCACUUCAGCGCCACGUCAUCAGUUGACCGUUUGACGUUGACUUUGACCGUUUGAUCGUUGACUUUUCUGGGUAAAUUACACUGUUAGUCCCUGAAUUUUUGGAUAAUUACAGAUUGGUCCCUAAGUUUCUGUUAAUUACGAUUGGUCCCCUAGGUUUUCCUGUUAAUUACAUUUUAGUCCCCUGUAAGUUUCGAGCAUUUUCAAUUUGGUCCCAGGAGUUCUGAUUUUGUCAAUUGGGCCCCAGAACUUUUCAUCUUGUCGAUUUGGCCCCAGACCUUUCUAAUUUUGACAGUUUUGGUCCUAAAGUUUCUGAUUUGACAGUUUAGCCUUUCCUUCCCUGAGUUUUCUCGGCAUUCCAGAUCAUCCGCGUGGUGGUUUUUCGGAGAUUUUUUUUUUUUGUUGCUUCUAUUUGGGAGAAUUAAGAUGGUGGGCAUAUUUGGGUUCGAUGAUCGUACUUUCAGCACAAAUUAUCCAUAUGGAAACCUCGGUGGAGGCCUCCUAUUUUGCAAGGAUUUUGCACGACCCUUUGGAGAAUAAAGGAGAAAAACCUUAGCGACGAAUGAUGAGAAUGGAGAAAGAUGAUAGGAAGAACGAUUGGACCUAAUCAGACAGUGCAUUGGACACGAGGUUUCCAUCAUGUAGCACAGGAGACGAGUGCUUAUGAGUUGUGGAUCAAGUUGGAGGAGAUGUACAGGCGAAGACAUCUCGGACAAGCCUUAUUUAGAGGAAGUCUUGUGAAUUUGAACUUCAGAGGGAGACUACAGUGGCGGACAUACGAUGAGUUCCAAGAAUUUGGUCAAUCAGUGGACUAGGUUACCUACGUUUGAAACGACGAGAUGCAUGGCCUUAUGCUUUUGAGUUCCUUGUCAGAGAGUUUUUGGGAACAGUGGUGAUUUCUCUCAGUAAUUCGCGCCGAAUGGGAAGUGACUACGAGUAUGGUCAUGGAUGCCCUGUUCAAUGGCAGAGCUCGGAGGAGAGAGAUGGGUUUCGACAAUCAGAGGAGUCACAGGCCUAGUCUCAGAGGAAGCAAGGAAAAGAGGCCGAGGUCAAGAAGAGGUCAUCAUAGGGGUACUGAAAAUGACGUGGAGGUCACAAGCGAGAGGUCGCACUGUUAGGUGCUUUUUAUUGCGACCAGGAGGGGCAUAUCAAGAGGGGAUUGUCCAAAGUACAUCGCCCAGGUUCAGUCUUCAGAUACAGCAACACAGCAGUGAUGGCCGUGAUGAUGAGAGUGAUGCCUCUGCAGCAUCGUAAAGAUGAAAGUCCAGAUGGGUAUUGGGUUCGGCAGUGCUUCCACUUUUGUGAUGAUAGAUAGGUGGUUCUUUACAUAUGCAGCAUGCGAGGGACGUAUAUGGAUGGGCGAACACCCAGCUAGCAGAGUUGUUUGGCAGAGGGUCGUCCGGUUUUCCGCAUGGCAGACGGGAGGUUCUGUGACGUUGACUGAGGUAAGGCAUGUUCCUAAUCUAACGGAAAAAUUUGAUUUCUAUUGGGAUGCUAGAUUCAAGGGAUGCAGCUUUGAGGCUAGUGGAGGAACUCUCAGAUUUCCAAGAAAACAGGAGAUGCUUGGGGAAAAGAAACUAGAGGGCUAUACCGAUUGGAGGGGAGUGUCCAGACAUGGGGGGGGAGAGCUAACUGUCCGACUAGGUCCAGUGGUAUUAGCAAGGAGAAUGGACAAGGGAAGCAACCGUGCACAGAGGUACGCAAAGCAAGCGCAGGGGUACUUGGGGAUCCGUAAUGGUACUGGAGAUCCGGAUGGUACAAAGCCCAGGGGAUGCUUUGAGAUAUGUACGGAAGUCUGGCCAGACACGAGUGGUGCAACCAGUGGCAGGAUGUCCUGAGAAGCUCAGAGGAAGGAGACCAGUCGAUUUUGAGAGCUGUACAGCGAAAGGCGCGGGCGACGCCGAAGCUAGUCUCUUUUGCUCUCGUUUGAUCAGUGGCGCGUGACCUCUCAUUGUGUGGCACAAGGGAGGAAGAGAUGAUCCACGACACUCGCAAAGUGAUUACUUUGCGGCGCACCCCGUUGGGGGGUGUGAGGCACCCCAUGGGGGGGUGCAGUGCCCUCGGUGAUAAGGGCAGGCACUUCGGUGUGGAGUGCAGACACUUCGUUGGGGAAGUGAUAGCCCGUUGAUGAGGCUAUGUAUCUCGGAUGUUUCCCCUUGGCCAGUCUUAUUGGGGAGCUGGAUCAGAAGCUGUCAGAAGGACAACUUGAAAACGUCAGAUUACCCUCCAUUGGGGCUGGAGGGGGAGAUGUUGAGUCCAGCCAUCUGGAUGAGUCCAACCCCACUUGGAUGAGUCCAAAUCCAAGUAGCCAAGCCCAAGUCCGAUUGGAGUUCAUAUGGAGAGUCCAUGUGCGGUGAACUCUCGAGUUUCUAGACUCUUGGAGAGUCUUUUAAUCUUUUUGUUUUCCUAGAUAGAUUAGGAUAAUUAUUAGGUAUUCCGGUAGAAUCCACCACCUCCUUCCCUUGGUCUAUAAAAGGGAUGAUAUGGUGCUUUAGAUGUCUACGUGUGUUUUGUGUUGUGGGCUGAGAGCAGAGUGCUGUGGAGGUUGAUUGAGAGGCAGACGAGAGAGAUUGUGAGAGAGGGUGUGAGUUGAGAGGUGAGUCCUCCUCCGUUGUAAUCCAUUCGUUUGGAUAUGGAUUGUUGAUUUCUCCCGUGGACCGUAGCAUCGGUGGCCGAACCAAGUAAAUCUCUAUUGUGCCUUUUGUGCGUGUGUGAUCCGAUAAUUAUUUUGAGGCACAACAGACUUCUCAUCCUCUUAAUCUCUUGACCCUUCUUCUUUCUUCAUAAUAUCAUCUGUGUUGAUGAAAAGAGAGAAAAUAAAAAAAUGCCAUGGGUUUUUUCAAUAUUGAGGUAAUUUCGUAUUUCACGAAUGUCAUGUUGGAGAAUGCAUGUGUAGGUUAACGCUACUCUUCAUUUUUUGUCAUUUGUCCAAUUUCCUCUAUUUGACAAUUCAUACUCGUAAUUUAUGUGGUUAUAUGGAACUCGGAGGAGCCAUCCCUGAGCAUCUCCCUCCAGGAGGCGUUCGUGAGUUCCUAGAGUCUCCUAAGUGAAUAAGCCCUCAGCUCUUCACCACUCGGGCAAAUAAAUGACAAAAAAUGAGUUUAGCCUAAUAGGGUGCUCACAGAUCACCAUGAUGAUUUGAGAGUCAACUUGAGACUCUAGGCUUAUCAACCAAUCUCCAUGGUGAGGGACUCUAUGAGGCCCUCACCAAUACUUAAUAAUAUAUCUCCAUCAAUCUCCACGAGUCAAGUGAGGGACUCCGUGUAACCCUCGCCAUCACCAUGAGAGAAGCUCCAAGUGAGGGACUCCAUGGAGCCCUCAUCAACACUUAGAAAAUAUUUCCAUCUCCACACUCUCUAUUCAAGAUAUUCAAGAUGACGACAUUGCCUAGGUAGAGAGCAGAGACUGGGCACCUUAUUGGGACCCAAGGAAGAAUGUGGUUUGGAGGUUAGAGCAAAGAGGUCUGUCAAAGAGCCCUCCAAAGAAGGGCUUAUUAACCAGUAAAGAAGGAGCUUGGUUGAGAUGCGAUGGUUGGAAAUUUUCUUACUAGGUUUGGCCAAGCUAGGGCAGGUAUCACUGCUGGGUUGUCGCUCUAUAGCAAGCUCGGCGGGGUCAGUGCGCUGGAGCUCGGUUGAGAGGCAACGGUUGGAGGCGAUCCCAAGGCAUAUCAGGGGACAAAAAGUAACUUGCACGGCAAGGUUUCCUCUGACAGCCUCCACGCCUGGAUCGAGACGUCGGCUACAUGAUAACUUGCCCGUUCUGUUCUUUGAUUUCGUGUUUAUGAUGGAGCUGUAGCUUAGUCAUUCUCUAAUCCAGUAAAUGUUAGAGGUAUUUAUAAUUUGGUGUUGCUCAAAUGUUUCCGUUUCUGUUGUGCUAAUAAAUAUUCAUAUUGGAUUUCAUUAUUUAUAUCAGGUGUUACUUAUUGCACUUGCUCAUGUCGUGUUGGUCAUGCAGUUUUCUGAAGCUGUAUGUAUGGUCUACAAAACACUGACUUCAGUUUUGAGCUUUAUGGAAGAGUUAUUUUGAUUCCUUCUUUUUGAUUACUGAUUGGGCGGUGCGAUCGUUGAUGCUUGCUACUGUUAAAGUGACUCGGUUAUCUCUGGUGUUAGCCUUGUUUUCUUGGUUGAAAUCACUGGAGAUCCCUUUGAGGCUCUGAACUCUCUCUUCAUUAGUGUACCUGAACCUAUCUCAUAACCAACUAAAGGGCUUGCUUCACGAGGAAGCCGGAAACUUGGAAAAUCUAGAAACACUUGAUGUUUCUGAUAACAUGUUGUCUGGUAAUUUUUCAAGCACUCUAGGCAGCUGUGUAAAAUUAACAUUACUGUAUAUGGAGCUAAACUUAUUCUGGGGAAUCCUUCCUUCCUCUUUAAGCUAAACUUAUCUCGCAUUAAUUUCUAUGGAAAAAUCCCCGAUUAUUUGGAGGUUUUGUCUUCCUACAUAAAUUAAAUCUAUCAUUUCAUGAUUUUGAGGGUGAAGUUCCAGAAACAGGCAUAUUUAAGAAUGCAACUAUUGUUUCUAUCAAGGGAAACAAUAAGCUUUGUGGGGGAAUACCAGAAUUACAACUACACAGUUGCAACUCCAAAGGGUUCAGAAAUAAUAGAUUACUUUCAGAAUCAAGGUUAUUGUCGCUGUCGCUUUUGGGCUUCUAGGACUAGUUCUGAUAGUGUUUCCUAUAUAUUUGUUGGUUAAGGAAGACAAAAAAGGUCUCCUCUUUCAGAACUAUAGGGAACUCAUUUACGAAAUUGUCCUACCAAAGUCUACUUAAAGCUACAGAUGGGUUCUCUCAAGAGUCAAGACAAUUUGCUCGGCAUCGGUGGUUUUGGCUCGGUGUACAAAAGAAUUCUUGAUCAAGGUGAAAGAGUUGAAGCACUUGAUUAUCUACACCAUUAUGGUCUGGAACCCACAGUGAUUUGAAGUUGAGCAACAUUCUUCUUGACAAUUAAAUGACUGGACAUGUCGGUGACUUUGGGAUAACGAGAUUCCUUCCAGAAGCCACUGAUAUUGAUACUUCUGCAACUCCAUUUGAACACCAUUAAAUAGGAAAUACAAAGAAUUAAAGUAAUGUGUAUAAAGAACAGUUACCAACACCAAGUUGGCAAACUCUGUUCAUCCAACAAGAAUUUUGCCUUGGCUCUACAAAUCCAUAUUUCCAAAUUACAAUCAGAAUACCAACCAGUUCUAUUCUGUACUCAUGAUGUCCACUCAUGUAACCAACAAGGUAUUAACAAAGGGACCACCCAAUGGCAAUAUCAACCUAGGAUUCUUUAGGGAUAUGCUUGGAUCAAGAAUGUGACAAGAGAAAAUGAAAUGACAAUGUAAAAUGUAGAUGAUUCAAUGGUUCUGAACGGUUAAAUGGUCUAACUUUUUCAUUUUCACUUCAUUUUCUCUCAUCAAAUUCAGGAUCCAAAUACAACUUAGGAGAAAGUAAGUUAGAUAUAUUAGGUAUAGGAGCAAGUAGCCAUAGUAAUAAAAAUUGAACAAGCCGGUUCAAUCGGGAACCGGACCAUGGAUCGGUACGAUUCAAUUAAUUUACCGGAAAUGCAUAUAAACCGGGUGAACUGACCGGUAUUUUAAAACACCAGUGAACCGGACGAUAUUUAGUGAACCGUCCUGUUUUUAAAAAAAGUUAAAAAAAAUAAAAAUUGCACAAGAUUUAAAACCAUCACUGGUUCGGUUCUGAUAACUAUGCAAGUAGCAUCCAGACAAAUAUUUCUUCACAUGGUAUGCUGUUAUCAAUAAUUCUUCAAAUAUUAAAGCUAUUUUCUGUUUCUUCUCCCAACUUAAGUUUCUUUUCUUUUUUCUUAUUUUAUUGUUUAUCAUUUCCCUCCAACUAUUUCGAGUACUAAUAAAUGUUUUCUUUCUCUCUUCUUUUAAGUGCAUCAGGUUUAAAUUGCAUUGAAGAUAUUCGUUAACUCAACAACUAGGCAAUGCUGCACUUUGCUCUGGCUUCAUGUAAUAGAUACUCUCGAUUUGUGUGGGAGCAGUGAGGCUUGACUUUAUAUGAUUAUGAAAUAUAAUCUUUGGUACCAAUAUCUAGAAUUUUCUUUUUUUGUGUGUGGCAUUGCGCUGAAGAAUUUUUAAGAACAAUACAAUAUCAUUGUUUUUGAUCUUCUAAGUGCUUCAGGUUUGAAUUGCCUUGAGGAUUUUUUUUUGUUUUUUAAUAGAUUUUUUCUCAAAUUUAAAUAUUUUUUUUACAUUUACAAAAUUUUGUCGUUAAUAGAAAUUGAAAAUUAUAAAUUUUUAUCAACUCGUGAAAAAAAAAAUAAAUUAAACAAUCAAUGCAGUUAAAUUAGCUA
rnacentral:lncRNA from 1 species